rnacentral:rRNA from 1 species
AUUGAACGCUGGCGGCAUGCUUUACACAUGCAAGUCGAACGGCAGCGGGGAGGAGCUUGCUUCUCUGGCGGGGAGUGGCGAACGGGGGAGUAAUACAUCGGGACGUGUCGAGAUGAGGGGGAGAUACACCCGAAAGAGUGGCUAAUACCGCAUAAAUUCUGAGGGAGAAAGCUCGGGACCUGGUAAUACGCCUCGCGCUUGUUGAGCCCCAGAUCGCGGAUGAGCUAGUUGGUGGGGUAGAGGCUCACCAAGGCGAAGAUCUGUAGGGGGUGUGAGAGGAUGAUCAGCCACACUGGGACUGAGACACGGCCCAGACUCCUACGGGAGGCAGCAGUGGGGAAUUUUGGACAAUGGGGGCAAGCCUGAUCCAGCCAUACCGCGUGUAUGAAGAAGGCCUUAGGGUUGUAAAGUACUUUUGUUAGGAAAGAAAAGAAGGCUGUUAAUACUGGCUGAUACUGACGGUACCUAAAGAAUAAGCACCGGCUAACUACGUG